AUUGACCGCACUAAGCUCUUGUUUUUUCAUUCAUGAUUUGUUAGAUGUCAAUGGAAAUGGAGAAUACCAAUAGGGCAACGACUCCAAUAAUGGAAUCAAGAGAUGGAGAAGGAUUUGAUGAGGCAUCCGACACAAACAAGGCGAUUACAACUUGGAGUCUUGGAGCAGUCUUUUCUUUUGUGGAUAAAUUAAAGUUCUAAGUUGGAGAUGACUUGUGGAUCUUUUGUAGACUUGGUUCUAGAUCCAAAUCUUGAGAAGUUUUUAUUUACGUUGGCUUUUGAGCUCUCAAAGCUUGAGAAGUUGCCUGCUUUUUAAUUAUUGAGAAGAUUACUAUUCAACUU